rnacentral:lncRNA from 1 species
CAGCACUCAGGAGUCUGAGGCAGGAGGAUCAUUGCCAGUUCAAGGCCAGCCUGGGCUAUAUAACGAGUUCAAGGCCAGCCUGAACUACAUAGUGAGACUCUGUCUCAAAAAAAAAGAUUAUUUAGGGGCCAUAGGUGGAGUCUUCCUUGGGUACCCAGUCAUCAUUUUAAUUUUCUUCUACACAGUAAAACAAUACCUACAAUCACUCUCACACUGCCUCCCUGUGCGAGAUGUGACAGAUAUUCCAAAGGACAAGAUUAUGGAUUAUGGUCACACAGGAAGUUGCAGCAUAUAUACACUAUCGGAGAGGAUAUACAGACAUUGGAAACCAGCGUACCCUAAGUCAAAAUCCCAGCAUAUUCCAUGCUCAGCUGACUACAAAGCAGAAGCACCAUGGUGGAAAGGUGUGGGGAGCAAAUCUGCUCAACUCCUGGCAUCUGGGAAUCAGCAGGGGAAGAGCCAGAGAGGAAGGGGCAGGAACCAGAUGGAGUCACUUCCUCCAACUAGACCUCCUAACAACCCAUUAGCCAUGAACUCAUCCCGGGUGAGUCCAAUGAUGGAGCCCUUAAAGUCUAAUCCCUGCUCCAAGAGUCCCUUAAUCCACUUAACUAGAUUAACUGCCACAACAAUGCAACACAGAUGAACAGAAUCCAGGUGGGAAGACCCACUCGUGCGGUUUCAUUUAAGUAAAUCCCAAGGGAAAGGCAAGACUGUAAAGACAAGUACUGGGGCUGGGAUAGGCGAUGGAGUUGACUGUAGGAUGACAGGAAGGACCUUUCUGGGGGAGAAAGAAAGGUCCUAGACCUGAACUGGGUGAUGGAAGUGUGGCUGUAUAGAAACCCCAGAGCUCACCAAGCUAUACAUUUAGAAAGGCUGACUUUAAUUUGUGACUGAGGUUUAAUUUAAUUGCAAAUUUCAA